rnacentral:lncRNA from 1 species
CAUUGGUAUUAUGGUCUCCAUUGUGCUUACUAUAUAAACAACAAUCCUUUGUUAUGGUUAGCCAUGCCUUCAAAAACACUUAACCAUUUCAUUUGUCUGUAUUCAUUUGUCUAAGUAAGUUUUGGUCCAUAACUUUCUGAGAAUGUCGAGUUCGGACAAUUUCAUCAUGUUUGCCAGGGACCAAGAAGCACUAAUCAGAUGAAAGGACAAUUCGACCCCAGAGGUGUGCAAGGCUGUGAGAUAUGACUUGGCGAAGCUUAGGACAUUCCAAAUGGAAUAUGACAUUGCUGUUGUAAGAUGGUCUUAUGAAUUGAUAAUAGAUUGCUAAUAAAAUGUUUGGUUGGUAUGAAGAUUAUAAUGAUGCUUUUAUGUUAGACUUAUAGUUGGCGUUAG